UGACGGGCCCGCACAAGCAGCGGAGCGUGUGGUUUAAUUCGUUGCUACACGAAGAACCUUACCUGGGUUUGACAUAAUGGUGGUAGGGAUCCGAAAGGUGACCGACCUUCGGGGAGCCAUUUACAGGUGUUGCAUGGCUGUCGUCAGCUCGUGUCGCGAGAUGUUCGGUUAAGUCCGCUAACGAGCGCAACCCUCGCUGUGUGUUAUAUGUGUCACACAGGACUGCUGGUAUUAAGCCGGAGGAAGGUGGGACGACGUCAAGUCAGCAUGACCUUUAUAUCCAGGGCUACACACACGCUACAAUGGUCAGCACAAUAGGUUGCCAAGUCGUGAGACGGAGCCAAUCCUCCAAAGCUGGCCUCAGUUCAGAUUGUAGGCUGCAACCCGCCUGCAUGAAGUUGGAGUUGCUAGUAACCGCAGGUCAGCUAUACUGCGGUGAAUACGUUCCCGGGGAUU
rnacentral:rRNA from 1 species